rnacentral:rRNA from 1 species
AAAUUAAUAAUUACAACUUUCAACAACGGGUCUCUUGGUUCUGGCAUCGAUGAAGAACGCAGCGAAAUGCGAUAAGUAGUGUGAAUUGCAGAAUUCAGUGAAUCAUCGAAUCUUUGAACGCACAUUGCGCCCUUUGGUAUUCCAAAGGGCAUGCCU